rnacentral:tRNA from 1 species
GCCCGGAUGGCGGAAUUGGUAGACGCGUUGGUCUCAAACACCAAUGGAGCGAUCCGUGCCGGUUCGAUCCCGGCUCCGGGUAC